UACAGAGGGGGCAAGCGUUGUUCGGAAUUACUGGGCGUAAAGGGCGCGUAGGCGGCCUUCUAAGUCGAACGUGAAAUCCCUGGGCUUAACCCAGGAACUGCGUCCGAUACUGGAUGGCUUGAGUUUGGGAGAGGGAUGCGGAAUUCCAGGUGUAGCGGUGAAAUGCGUAGAUAUCUGGAGGAACACCGGUGGCGAAGGCGGCAUCCUGGACCAACACUGACACUGAGGAGCGAAAGCCAGGGGAGCAAACGGG
rnacentral:rRNA from 1 species